rnacentral:rRNA from 1 species
AUGCAGAUGCAUAUCACCCUCGGGGGUGUCUUCCUCCUCGCCCUGAUCGACUCAGGCUCCACCCACAACUUCAUCGCCGAGGAGGCGGCCGCUCGUGCUACACUGCCAUCCCCCACCACCGAGAAGCUGCGCGUCAUGGUGGACAACGGCGAACGCGUUCCGUGCCAGGGCGCAUGCCGCGCCAUGUCCUUCCGCAUCGACCAAGAGGCGUUCUCGGAGGAUUUCCUCGCCUUGCCGCUCGCGGGCUACGACGUCGUCCUGGGCACGCAGUGGCUUGCGACGCUUGGACCGAUCCUUUGGGAUUUCCGCGCCCUCUCCAUGACGUUCUGGCGGAGGGGCCAUCGGGUGUGCUGGCAUGGCAUUGCAGGACCGGACGGUCCAGCCCUGAAAUCAUGCAGUGGCCGCGACUUCCUCGAUGCCAUCAUCACCGAGUUCGACGGCAUUUUCGCCGAGCCCUCCGGCGUGCCACCACCCGGCAGCCACGACCACGGCAUCACCCUGCUGCCCGGUUCCGCCCCGGUGGCCGUCCGUCCGUAUCGCUACCCGGCCGCGCACAAGGACGAGCUGGAGCGUCAGUGUGCCACCAUGCUCGCCCUGGGCAUCAUCCGAGCGAGUUGUUCCGCAUUCUCAUCUCCGGUACUGCUGGUCCGCAAGCCCGACGGGUCCUGGCGCUUCUGCAUCGACUACCGUGCCCUGAACGCCAUCACCGUCAAGGAUGCGUUUCCGAUCCCGGUGGUGGACGAACUCCUCGACGAGCUCCAGCGCGCUUGUUUCUUCACCAAGCUUGACUUGCGCUUCGGCUACCACCAGGUGCGGAUGCGUGCGGAGGACAUCCCCAAGACCGCCCUUCCGUACCCACGACGGCCUCUACGAGUUCCUGGUGAUGCCGUUCGGCCUCUGCAACGUGCCGGCAAUGUUCCAGGCACUCAUGAACGACCUGCUGCGACCGUACCUGCGCCAUUUCGUUCUCGUCUUCUUUGA